GAGGGUUUGAUCCUGGCUCAGAUUGAACGCUGGCGGCAGGCCUAACACAUGCAAGUCGAGCGGAUGAAGGGAGCUUGCUCCUGGAUUCAGCGGCGGACGGGUGAGUAAUGCCUAGGAAUCUGCCUGGUAGUGGGGGAUAACGUCCGGAAACGGGCGCUAAUACCGCAUACGUCCUGAGGGAGAAAGUGGGGGAUCUUCGGACCUCACGCUAUCAGAUGAGCCUAGGUCGGAUUAGCUAGUUGGUGGGGUAAAGGCCUACCAAGGCGACGAUCCGUAACUGGUCUGAGAGGAUGAUCAGUCACACUGGAACUGAGACGCGGUCCAGACUCCUACGGGAGGCAGCAGUGGGGAAUAUUGGACAAUGGGCGAAAGCCUGAUCCAGCCAUGCCGCGUGUGUGAAGAAGGUCUUCGGAUUGUAAAGCACUUUAAGUUGGGAGGAAGGGCAGUAAGUUAAUACCUUGCUGUUUUGACGUUACCAACAGAAUAAGCACCGGCUAACUUCGUGCCAGCAGCCGCGGUAAUACGAAGGGUGCAAGCGUUAAUCGGAAUUACUGGGCGUAAAGCGCGCGUAGGUGGUUCAGCAAGUUGGAUGUGAAAUCCCCGGGCUCAACCUGGGAACUGCAUCCAAAACUACUGAGCUAGAGUACGGUAGAGGGUGGUGGAAUUUCCUGUGUAGCGGUGAAAUGCGUAGAUAUAGGAAGGAACACCAGUGGCGAAGGCGACCACCUGGACUGAUACUGACACUGAGGUGCGAAAGCGUGGGGAGCAAACAGGAUUAGAUACCCUGGUAGUCCACGCCGUAAACGAUGUCGACUAGCCGUUGGGAUCCUUGAGAUCUUAGUGGCGCAGCUAACGCGAUAAGUCGACCGCCUGGGGAGUACGGCCGCAAGGUUAAAACUCAAAGGAAUUGACGGC
rnacentral:rRNA from 1 species